CCUACGGGAGGCUGCAGUAGGGAAUAUUGGGCAAUGGGGGCAACCCUGACCCAGCCAUGCCGCGUGCCGGACGAAGGCCCUCUGGGUUGUAAACGGCUUUUAUCAAGGAAGAACGUACUCUUUGCGAAGGGUAGUGACGGUACUUGAGGAAUCAGCACCGGCUAACUCCGUGCCAGCAGCCGCGGUAAUACGGAGGGUGCAAGCGUUGUCCGGAUUUAUUGGGUUUAAAGGGUGCGUAGGUGGCCCCUUAAGUCAGGCCUGAAAGCCGGCGGCUC
rnacentral:rRNA from 1 species